rnacentral:rRNA from 1 species
UCCUACGGGAGGCAGCAGUGGGGAAUAUUGCACAAUGGGCGCAAGCCUGAUGCAGCGACGCCGCGUGAGGGAUGGAGGCCUUCGGGUUGUAAACCUCUUUUGUUUGGGAGCAAGCCUUCGGGUGAGUGUACCUUUCGAAUAAGCACCGGCUAACUACGUGCCAGCAGCCGCGGUAAUACGUAGGGUGCAAGCGUUAUCCGGAAUUAUUGGGCGUAAAGGGCUCGUAGGCGGUUCGUCGCGUCCGGUGUGAAAGUCCAUCGCUUAACGGUGGAUCUGCGCCGGGUACGGGCGGGCUGGAGUGCGGUAGGGGAGACUGGAAUUCCCGGUGUAACGGUGGAAUGUGUAGAUAUCGGGAAGAACACCAAUGGCGAAGGCAGGUCUCUGGGCCGUUACUGACGCUGAGGAGCGAAAGCGUGGGGAGCGAACAGGAUUAGAUACCCUGGUAGUCCACGCCGUAAACGGUGGAUGCUGGAUGUGGGGCCCGUUCCACGGGUUCCGUGUCGGAGCUAACGCGUUAAGCAUCCCGCCUGGGGAGUACGGCCGCAAGGCUAAAACUCAAAGAAAUUGACGGGGGCCCGCACAAGCGGCGGAGCAUGCGGAUUAAUUCGAUGCAACGCGAAGAACCUUACCUGGGCUUGACAUGUUCCCGACAGCCGUAGAGAUAUGGCCUCCCUUCGGGGCGGGUUCACAGGUGGUGCAUGGUCGUCGUCAGCUCGUGUCGUGAGAUGUUGGGUUAAGUCCCGCAACGAGCGCAACCCUCGCCCUGUGUUGCCAGCACGUCAUGGUGGGAACUCACGGGGGACCGCCGGGGUCAACUCGGAGGAAGGUGGGGAUGACGUCAGAUCAUCAUGCCCCUUACGUCCAGGGCUUCACGCAUGCUACAAUGGCCGGUACAACGGGAUGCGACACGGCGACGUGGAGCGGAUCCCUGAAAACCGGUCUCAGUUCGGAUUGGAGUCUGCAACCCGACUCCAUGAAGGCGGAGUCGCUAGUAAUCGCGGAUCAGCAACGCCGCGGUGAAUGCGUUCCCGGGCCUUGUACACACCGCCCGUCAAGUCAUGAAAGUGGGUAGCACCCGAAGCCGGUGGCCUAACCCUUUGUGGAUGGAGCCGUCUAAGGUGAGACUCGUGAUUGGGACUAAGUCGUAACAAGGUAGCCGUACCGGAAGGUGCGGCUG